rnacentral:misc_RNA from 1 species
AGUGCUGCAAAAGCCAGCAAGAGUGUGAUGAUUAUGGUUUUCACAGGAAACUGCAAGAGGUAAGAAUGUCACUCACAUUUCUAGCUUUUUUGUCUACACAGAAUUUGUGUGAGUUCAUUGCCUCAAACGUCAACAUUAAUUUUGUUUCUAGGUGCAGUAAGUUCAUCAAUUGUUUCUUUUCUCAACUGCAAACAAGCAGUGCAAAGUGAUAUAUCUUUUGUGUAAUUUACUAAUUUAAGAGAACUUUGUCUUUUAUUGUGUAUUCUACUUGAUUUUACUUAUCCAAGCUGAAGUAAAUGUUAGGAAAUGGAAAAAUUUAGUGUAUUCUUGAAUCUUUUGAACUGUGAGCGCCUGAUAUUUU